rnacentral:miRNA from 1 species
AAUCUCAUCAAUCUCCCAAUA